UUUAAAGAGACAAAACAAUUUUGUUCUCAUCCUAUUUGGGCCAUCAUGCAAUAACCACAACUUUUGGGCCAUAUUGCAAUAACAAAAACUUUUGGGGUCACCUUGUACAAUACACAAAAGUCACAACUUCAUGUAAAUACAACUAGAACCCAAACUUUUAAUAAUGCAAAAACUUCAUUAAAGGAACAAAACAAUUUGCCCUUUAGCGUUUUUGGACCUAAACGUCAAAACGUAAACUUUUGGGCCAAAGUGCAAAUACACAAAAGUAUCAAAACUUUAUGUAAUUGCAUAAAAGCCCCAAAAGUACUCCCUUUGAGGGAGUGGCUGGUUUUAGGGAGGGAUAAGGUUGGUGUGUGUGUUGAUUUGUGAGUUUUGUCAAAAACAUGCAAGUGUAUGUAAGAUAAGAAAUUCUUAUCACCAUUAUUUCUAUCACCUUUCAUAAAAAUAAUAUAUGUUUUGAUGAUAGAUUUUUCUAUUGCCAUUUAAUCAAAUAUUUAACACUUUAAAUACAUGAUAUCAUUUGAAAAACAUAUCACAUAUACUUUAUGAAAUAAAUCAAAACUUUGAAUCAAAACACCAAACCUUUUUGUUCUUGGUAAGAACAUCAAGAACAA
rnacentral:lncRNA from 1 species